ensembl:processed_transcript
CUGUGCCCCACUGACUUAACCCAGUAGGACAGUUUUAUUGUGAAAAAAAGUUCCCUAGCAACCAUAGUCUCAGGCUUCUUGGCAAGAGAACUGAGGUGAGCCCAUGGAGACUGAACUGAGGACCCAAGGAAUAGUGUAAAACAAAGUGAAGAUAAAUAACUACACUAAUGAAUUUUUUAUUUUCAAACAGAUGGGUCUUUCUGAAUUUCUGGUCCUUCUGAAUUUCAAGGGCUCCUGUGACAAGUAGACAUGGCAGUGACUUCACCAUUUUGUUUCUGAGGUAAGAACUGAAAAUGUUUAACCAUGAACCUAUUCCAGGAUACAUGAUGAUCUCACCCCAACUUGAACUCUCUCACUGAUUACUUGAUGACAGUAAAAGAUCUGAUGUUCUGUGUUUUAAGUUACCAUUUAAGUUAAAAAUUGUAAAAGUGUGUCUAACAGCUACCUUCUGUUGCAGGUGCCUGGAUGGAGACUCAAAUAGAAGAUGGUGUCAGAUACAUUGUGUUGUCAAGAUUUUACCAUUAAAGUGUGUUAUAAACAUGAA